rnacentral:rRNA from 1 species
AGCGAACGCUGGCGGCAGGCUUAAUACAUGCAAGUCGAGCGCCCGUAGCAAUACGGGAGCGGCAGACGGGUGAGUAACACGUGGGAACAUGCCCUUCGGUUCGGAAUAACUCAGGGAAACUUGAGCUAAUACCGGAUACGCCCUUACGGGUAAAGGAUUAUCGCCGAAGGAUUGGCCCGCCGUCCGAUUAGCUAGUUGGUGAGGUAACGGCUCACCAAGGCGACGAUCGGUAGCUGGCUGAGAGGAUGAUCAGCCACACUGGGACUGAGACACGGCCCAGACUCCUACGGGAGGC